UACGGAGGAUGCAAGCGUUAUCCGGAUUUAUUGGGUUUAAAGGGUGCGCAGGUUGUUUGAUAAGUCAGUGGUGAAAGUCUGUCGCUUAACGGUAGGAAUGCCAUUGAUACUGUUGGACUUGAAUAUGGAUGAGGUAGGCGGAAUGUGUAGUGUAGCGGUGAAAUGCAUAGAUAUUACACAGAACACCGAUUGCGAAGGCAGCUUACUAAUCCAUCAUUGACGCUGAGGCACGAAAGCGUGGGGAUCAAACA
rnacentral:rRNA from 1 species